GCCCAGAUAGCUCAGUUGGUAGAGCAGGGGAUUGAAAAUCCCCGUGUCGGUGGUUCGAAUCCGCCUCUGGGCACCA
rnacentral:tRNA from 2 species